rnacentral:misc_RNA from 1 species
GAUGAAGAACGCAGCGAAAUGCGAUAAGUAGUGUGAAUUGCAGAAUUCAGUGAAUCAUCGAAUCUUUGAACGCACAUUGCGCCUCCUGGUAUUCCGGGAGGCAUGCCUGUUCGAGCGUCAUCAAAAACCUCAACCCAUGAUUUAUUGUGGGUUGGUUCUGCAUUGGACUCCUUGUGGGUCCUUUGCGAAAUCCAAUGGCGAAGAGCCACGCAACCAAAGCGUAGUAUAACUAUUUCGUUAUGGAAGCGUGGGUGCCUCUGCCGUAACCCCCAAUUUCUUAGUUUUUGACCUCGGAUCAGGUAGGGAUACCCGCUGAACUUAAGCAUAUCAAUAAGCGGAGGA